rnacentral:rRNA from 1 species
AGUGGGGGAUAACGUACCGAAAGGUACGCUAAUACCGCAUAUGCCCUGAGGGGGAAAGGGGGGGAUCGUAAGACCUCUCGCUUUCGGAGUGGCCGAUAUCGGAUUAGCUAGUAGGUGAGGUAAAGGCUCACCUAGGCGACGAUCCGUAGCUGGUCUGAGAGGACGACCAGCCACACUGGGACUGAGACACGGCCCAGACUCCUACGGGAGGCAGCAGUGGGGAAUUUUGGACAAUGGGCGAAAGCCUGAUCCAGCCAUGCCGCGUGAGUGAAGAAGGCCUUCGGGUUGUAAAGCUCUUUCAGACGGAAAGAAAUCGCACUGAUUAAUACUCAGUGUGGAUGACGGUACCGUAAGAAGAAGCACCGGCUAACUACGUGCCAGCAGCCGCGGUAAUACGUAGGGUGCGAGCGUUAAUCGGAAUUACUGGGCGUAAAGCGUGCGCAGGCGGUUUUUUAAGACAGAUGUGAAAUCCCCGGGCUUAACCUGGGAACUGCAUUUGUGACUGGAAGACUAGAGUGUAGCAGAGGGGGGUAGAAUUCCA